GCUGUGAUGGCCGAGUGGUUAAGGCGUUGGACUUGAAAUCCAAUGGGAUCUUCCCGCGCAGGUUCAAAUCCUGCUCACAGCG
rnacentral:tRNA from 2 species